CUUCUGCAGAGCUGGUCCACAGUUUACCUGGCAGGGAAGUGGGCUUUGGUCUUGAAUCUGGUAUUCAGCUCAGGAAAAGAACUACACCCCUUGGAGCAGAAUGUAUGCACGGGACAGGGGUCGGUGAUUCAUGAACUCAUUGUGACUUCUUUAGCUCUCUUUGUCCGCUUCUUACUCCCGGAGAAUUUGAGUGCACGUGUAUAUGAUCCAGCAAAUGCACGCACAGACAGACACACACACACAUCCUCUACCAUCUCCCAUCUUCCCUUAGAAAGGAGAAGUAUUCAUCAGCCCCCCCCCCCAUUUUCUCCCUCCAUGACCGAGCCUCUAUUCUAGG
rnacentral:lncRNA from 1 species